rnacentral:rRNA from 1 species
UACGUAGGGUGCUAGCGUUGUCCGGAUUUAUUGGGCGUAAAGGGUGCGUAGGUGGCCUUAUAAGUCAGUGGUGAAAUACGGUUGCUCAACAAUCGAGGUGCCAUUGAUACUGUGGGGCUUGAAAUAAUUGGAGGCUGCCGGAAUGGAUGGUGUAGCGGUGAAAUGCAUAGAUAUCAUCCAGAACACCGAUUGCGAAGGCAGGUGGCUACGAUUGGUUUGACACUGAGGCACGAAAGCAUGGGGAGCAAACAGG